GUAAAUAGCUUCUCCAGUCACAACCAAAUGGCAGCCUUUUUCAGUGGUGGAGAGGCAAGCAGAGAGACAGCCAAUUUCCAUGUUGUGAGUUGCUGAAUAAAGAAGAUUCACAUGACAGGAUAGUGAAGGAAGCCUCUGGCCAAUAGCCAGCAAGGAAUGGAGGCCCUCGUUCCAAUAGACUGGGAUGAACUGAAUACUUAUAACAACCACUUGAGUGACCAUGGAAGAGGACCCACUCAUUCCCUGAUGGAGCUUUGGGAUGACCACAGCCUCAAUGAGACCUUGAUUGUAGCUUCAUGAGGUACUUCAGGAGAAGAGGUAAAACCAAGUCUUUCAAAAGCAAUCAUACCUCAAUGAUUUAAAUCACCUCACUGGGCUUAUGAC